ensembl:lncRNA
AUGCUGUUUACUCUAGGACUUCUCCUCCUUCUCACCCCAUUUCCCUCCUUUCAAUCCACGACCAAUGAGAGGAGAAACUCGACAGGAAGUGACGUGACCAAACCCAAUGCCGCUUUCACCCUGUCAAAACCAAAAACCACUGCUGCUCUCGCCAAACAAACCGUUCGCCCAACCCUAAAGCCAAACACAGUCAAUCAGACAGCUUUACCCACUCCAGCAACCACCAAAAGCAAGCCCGGCCCAGCAGUAAUUCAAACCACUCCGUCAGCAGCAGUAAAGACUACUACAGUCACUGGCACCAUCCCCAACAAAGACAAGCACACAGUCUCAGUCAAUCAAACUGUUUUAGCUAAAUCCCCUUCAGCUAGUGAAGCGAAGUCUACCAAAGACAAGCCUGCCCCCACUGGAGCUCCAAAUGUUCAGUCAGCCUCCACAAAGUCUGCUUCAGCUAAAGCCACCAAAGACAAACUCCAACCUGCGAUCAAUCAGACUAUUUCAAUGAAAUCUCCUUCAACCAGUGAUGGGAAGACUGCCAAAGACAAGCCUGCCCCCACUGUAGGUCAAAAUGUUCAGUCAAUAUCUCCAAAGUCUGCUCCUGCCAGUGGCGCUAAGACCACCAAAAACAAGCCCACAGCUUCCGUCAAUCAGACUGUUGUAGCAAAAUCUACCUCCACCAGUGAUGUAAAGAACUCCAAAGACAAGGCAGCCCCCACAGUAGUUCAAACUGCUCUGUCAACACCAGCAAAGGCCACUACAGAUGGUGGUCCUGCAGCUGAUAAAGAGAGGGUCACACCCUCUACCAAUCAGACCACUGUAAUCAAAGCUCCCAAAGAAAAGCCUGCCCCAACACAGCCAAUCAAGGUGGUCAUCAGUGAUGGCUGUGACUCAAGCAGCACCAAGGAGCAGGAGCUGAAGCUGAAGCCUGGAGCUCCUCUUGUGAUGACUCAUAAGAUCAGCUUGUUGCCCGGCAGCUGCACUGGGGGAUGUGAGUCUGAGAUGGCUACACUGAAAGGACGUGUGGCUCGACUGGAAAGAGAGAUGUCCUCCCUAAAAGAGAAAUGUAUGAUUCUCUCAUAUUCACCAGAUUAUUAUAUUUGA